GUGCUCUCUUUGGCAGCACAUAUACUAAUGUUGGAAUGAUACAGAGAAGAUUAGCAUGGCUCCUGCGCAAGAAUGACACACAAAUUAUUGAAGCUUUCCAAAUGUUG